CAGGGCAACAAGCUAACUGUUACACUCUGGUGUGCCAGCUGUACUUCGUGAGAAGACGUAUUUGAGAGCUCUCAGAGUUUUUUAAAGGACAGACUCAUCGUGGUUGAAAUAGCUGGAGCUGCCUGGAGCAAUUUAUCAGGUCAGUGUGCACAUAUGCACACUUCUGACUGGUGACUGUGAGGUUUUGACAAUCUGAAAUGGAAACUUUGCCAACAAGGUGGAUUUAAUCUGAUCACUCAGGGGACCAUUGAACGGGCUUGAUUUAUAACCUGCUGACAAGUUAGAAAUUGGAUAUUCACAGGAUGUUUUUCAAACUAUCAGAAGUAAUGGACAUUUUUUUUUUUUUUUAAUACCAAGAAUGACUUUCAGAUCAUUUUUUUAACAAAAAUUUGUACAUGUUUAAUAAAG